CUUUUAAAAAGCGGACCAUAUGCUUAAUUAUUUUAAUGUUACCACUUCAGCAAAAUGUUAAGUGUUGAAAAGACCAGCUUCUAUGGCAACUUGGGCCCAGUUAUGCCAUUAUUUGGAAUCGUAGACAGAAGCAGCUUUGGAUCCUCCCAUUUGUCGUGUGACAGGGACAGACCGCUGUCCUCAUCUUGCUGGUGGGAAACCCUCCUCUACUCUGGUGGGAAACCCUCCUCUACUCUGGUGUGCAGCAGGCAGAGCCCUUUCCUCCUCUCUGCUUAGCUUAUUUUAGGUUGUGGUACUUCAUAUCAGCAUUGAGAGAAGGUACACGUGUAUUCUUAUCACUGGUUCUGAGGAGUUUGGGUACAUUUGUUUUAAUAUGUGUAGACUGUGCAGUAAACAUUUUCUUUUUUUUUAAGCAAAAUUACUUAUCAUUUAUCAUUUUAGGUCCAGUGUUGAGCUGACAGAUCUACUGUGAGAAUGAACUGACAGAUCUACUGUGAGAAUAACAUAACGAUAGUUUAUAUGAAAACUUUUAUACACAGUGGGGUUUACACAUUAGGGUAAAUAUAUAAAUCCGCACUUGCAUGCACAUGUCACAUCUCUCUAGUGUGGAGUUAAUGUGAAUUUUUACAUUUUGAAUGGAAUUGCAACCACAAUCAUUGCUAAAAGAACAUUCACUCCUCGUGAGGGUUUACAAAAGCCACUAAAAGAAUAAGGUAGACAGAUGAAAAUGCAAAG
rnacentral:lncRNA from 1 species